GCUUCAGAGAUGCUGUCAGCCCUCUGCAAAAUGUUUCCUACAGGAUCAGUCUGAGUGCUGUGGAUGCAGAGAAAUCCAGUAAUGUAAGCAUUAGUUCCUCCUAGACACAAAGGUUCCAACAGCUGAGGAACUAUGAGAUAAACCAGACAAGCCAUUGCAGACACUUGGUUAUACUGACUGUUGUCCUGGUGAAUGCCGGAUACCAGAAGGCAACAGAGGAAUGACAGGUAUUGUUGUGGAAGUGGGGCAUGAGGGAGACAGUGUUUGAUGUUCCAUGCACCUGGCUAGAUAUAGGUCUGUUCCAUAAAAGAGUUAAGAGAGAAGCUAAUUCAGGAGGAAUUUGUGGCUUUGUUUGGGUUCUGUAGCUUAAUGCUUGUGAGCUAGGAGAGGCUCUGGAGGCUUUGAGUGGUUUACAUUGGCAUGUAAAUAAGGUUUUUAAGUUGAUGACGAAGCACUUAGGAAGGAAUGAAAACCCAAAAAGCCAGUGAUGGUCACUUUUCCAAAAGAUAGGGUCUCAAGUAUCCAAGCCGGCAGCUUCUAGUUCUCCUGCUGUGAUUAUAGGCGUGUUCCACCACUUCCAAGGCUUCAUUGAUUCUAGGCAAACACUCUGCCAACUGAGCUGCAACUCUGGCACCCCGGCAGGUCUCUCACAAGCAAAUUUCACAAAAUUUGUGUCAAGCCAGAGUUCCCAUGGGAGAUAAUGAUAAACAUCCAAACAGAGUAUUUGUGAGCCUCAGGAAGACUUUAAAUCUGGACUGACAGUUCCCCGAUGGCAUAGAUGGUAGAGCAGGUGAAAAAGGAUGGAGUUGUCCUGCUGGUAGGAAAGCGUCUUCCCCACACGGACUACACCAUGUGCACUUCUUCCAAGAAAAUAUACCAGUGAUGAAGAUUGUUUACCGGGUCCUCUUCAGAAGCCAGUGGCUGCGGCACCAUUAAGACUGUCAGAUUCUGAGAGUGUUGGGCAGGCUCACUUUUCCUCAUCAGUUUGUCCCUUGAGUUCAUUUCUAGAAAGGAUAUAAGGGACCAGGCGGUGGUGGCGCACACCUUUAGUCCCAGCACUCAAGGGCGGCAGAGGCAGGUGGAUCUCUGUGAGUUCGAGACCAGCCUGGUCUACAAGAGCUAGUUCCAGGACAGCCUCCAAAGCCACAGAGAAACCCUGUCUCAAAAAACCAAAACAGAAAAAAGACACAAGGGGGAUUACAACCUGGGAGAGGGAAGAAUAGGACUUAUUUUUGAGAUCACAUCUUAACCUCACCACUCGGCUCUUUCCUGUCUCCCUCUUCCACUCAUCUGAGAAGAGUGUGGCCACAUCCAGGAGACUGGGUCUUCCUCACCUUGGUCCUUUUUCCAAGGGCUUUCCACAGUUAAUCCCCCCCCCCCCCCAUUGGGAGGGAUUCCCAGAACAUGGUUCAUCCUGCAGGCCAGCAAGGGAACUGCAGAGUAUUGAGCCUAGUUGAAGGGCCUGCCUGAAGCUUUUGGUUCUGCUUUUUCUUUAAUUCUUGUACUCUGAAAUCUGUUUUCUGUAUCAAAUGUACUCUCAGAAAUAGCAUAGCAUGAAACCACCAAGGGGAAAGAAGUGUUUCUGUGACCACUUCCUAAUUAGCCUUUCUCAGAAUCAUGACUCAUCCCGGGCAGGGUCCAGUUCAGCUCCGGAUUCUCACAGAGGGCAAGAACCCCUCAUAGCGACCACACACUGGUUCUGUCCACAAUGGCUUUGAAGAACUCAAUUUGAUUAGGACUCUAUUGGUUCAUCACUAAUAAGAGUUUAUUGUGUUAGCUCAUGUCCCAGGCACAAUUACGAUGAAAUUGUAAAUUUUAUAUACCCCUCUCUUUUUAAAAAGCUGAUUUUUAAAGAUGAUAAAUUCUCACCAUGUAUCCCAGGUUGGUCUGGCACUAGCCACCAACCUGCCUCAGCUCCCUGAGUGCUGGGGUUAUAGGCUUAUGCUAUCACACCUGCUUCCAAUUUUGUAUGGUAGAAAAUACUUCUGGGUGUAUUCUUCAAGGAACUGAUAACAUCGGUGUUCUCCAGAGAGGAUUGCUGUGAGCCCUGCUCACAUUAUUUGAAUCUGAGGUAACUGUCUAACCUAUGCAAUUCAAAAUAAAUAAACUUCCAGGCUGUACACUUCACAUUGGUUCAUUAUUAAAGAUAUUGCCAUGCUCAAAGACAUUUUAGUCAAUUUUUUUAAAAAAACUAUUUCAGUCUGUUUUAUAUUUGGUUCAAUUUUAACUCUACCCUUUCUCAUUGGCUGCUUUGUGGGAUUUUAAGAAUGGAGGUGACUUCAAACGUUCUUUCAGAAGACUGGUCUACAAUCUGGAUUGUGUUGGGCCUUGAGUUGUGGCUGUAGAGGAGAGAAUGACACGGUGCCUGUCUUCUAAAAUCUUGGGGGGGGGGCACCGCAAAUAUCUCACAAGGGGAAGAGUCAAGUUGGGUUUUAUGCAUUGCUUCCCAUGGAAGUAAUGACUUAAGCUUAGUCUUGACAGUAGGUUAUACAGGAGGAGAGGUGCCCUCCCAGUGGAUGCAGGCUACAUGGGCAGGGUACAUGUUUAAAUGGCCACAGCCAGUUUCAUGCUGUUUUGCUCCUGGCAUGCUCUCAAUUCUUCACUGACAUAGAGGUAUGGGCCUUGUAAAUAUAACAGGGUACCAGAACUUUGUAGGUCUCAAGACCUUAGUCCAACUGACUUCAUGAUGAAAGCACCAUUCAGGCACAUAGCACCACCCACCAAAACUAAAACGAAGACCCAAUCCAUCAAAGUCCAUAGUUCUGGGAAAGUCUCUAAAUGUACUAACCUUGGUUUUUGGCUUUGGUAGUUCUGCUUCUGGCUAACUGUUCUGUUAUCUGAUGUAUGUCAACUCUGAGAAAGUUUGGGUAUAUACUGGGAUUCUGAAC
ensembl:lncRNA